GGGGUUGUGGCUCAGUGGUAGAGUGCUUGCCUAGCAAGUGUGAAGCCCUGGGUUCGAUUCUCAACACCA
rnacentral:tRNA from 1 species